GAGUUUGAUCCUGGCUCAGGAUGAACGCUAGCGGCAGGCUUAAUACAUGCAAGUCGAGGGGCAGCAGGACUGUAGCAAUACAGUUGCUGGCGACCGGCAAACGGGUGCGGAACACGUACGCAACCUUCCUUCAAAUGAGGAAUAGCCUUUCGAAAGAGAGAUUAAUACCUCGUAACAUUUUCUGGUGGCAUCACUGGAUUAUUAUAGCUCCGGCGUUUGAAGAUGGGCGUGCGGCUGAUUAGGUAGUUGGCGGAGUAAUAGCCCACCAAGCCUACGAUCAGUAACUGGUGUGAGAGCACGACCAGUCACACGGGCACU
rnacentral:rRNA from 1 species